rnacentral:rRNA from 1 species
AGUGAACGCUGGCGGUAGGCCUAACACAUGCAAGUCGAACGGCAGCACAGUAAGAGCUUGCUCUUACGGGUGGCGAGUGGCGGACGGGUGAGGAAUACAUCGGAAUCUACUUUUUCGUGGGGGAUAACGUAGGGAAACUUACUCUAAUACCGCAUACGACCUACGGGUGAAAGCAGGGGAUCUUCGGACCUUGCGCGAUUGAAUGAGCCGAUGUCGGAUUAGCUAGUUGGCGGGGUAAAGGCCCACCAAGGCGACGAUCCGUAGCUGGUCUGAGAGGAUGAUCAGCCACACUGGAAGUGGGACACGGUCCAGACUCCUACGGGAGGCAGCAGUGGGGAAUAUUGGACAAUGGGCGCAAGCCUGAUCCAGCCAGACCGCGUGUGUGAAGAAGGCGUUCGGGUUGUAAAGCCCUUUUGUUGGGAAAGAAAAGCAGCAGGUUAAGACCCCGCGGUUCUGACGGUACCCAAAGAAGAAGCACCGGCUAACUUCGUG